rnacentral:rRNA from 1 species
GACGAACGCUGGCGGCGUGCUUAACACAUGCAAGUCGAACGGAAAGGCCCUGCUUUUGUGGGGUGCUCGAGUGGCGAACGGGUGAGUAACACGUGAGUAACCUGCCCUUGACUUUGGGAUAACUUCAGGAAACUGGGGCUAAUACCGGAUAGGAGCUCCUGCUGCAUGGUGGGGGUUGGAAAGUUUCGGCGGUUGGGGAUGGACUCGCGGCUUAUCAGCUUGUUGGUGGGGUAGUGGCUUACCAAGGCUUUGACGGGUAGCCGGCCUGAGAGGGUGACCGGCCCCAUUGGGACUGAGAUCCGGCCCAGACUCCUACGGGAGGCAGCAGUGGGGAAUAUUGCACAAUGGGCGGAAGCCUGAUGCAGCAACGCCGCGUGCGGGAUGACGGCCUUCGGGUUGUAAACCGCUUUCGCCUGUGACGAAGCGUGAGUGACGGUAAUGGGUAAAGAAGCACCGGCUAACUACGUG